rnacentral:rRNA from 1 species
GACGAACGCUGGCGGCGUGCUUAACACAUGCCAGUCGAACGGCAAGGCCCUGCUUUUGUGGGGUGCUCGAGUGGCGAACGGGUGAGUAACACGUGAGUAACCUGCCCUUGACUUUGGGAUAACUUCAGGAAACUGGGGCUAAUACCGGAUAGGAGCUCCUGCUGCAUGGUGGGGGUUGGAAAGUUUCGGCGGUGGGGGAUGGACUCGCGGCUUAUCAGCUUGUUGGUGGGGGAGUGGCUUACCCAGGCUUUGACGGGUAGCCGGCCUGAGAGGGUGACCGGCCACAUUGGGACUGAGAUACGGCCCAGACUCCUACGGGAGGCAGCAGUGGGGAAUAUUGCACAAUGGGCGGAAGCCUGAUGCAGCAACGCCGCGUGCGGGAUGACGGCCUUCGGGUUGUAAACCGCUUUCGCCUGUGACGAAGCGUGAGUGACGGUAAUGGGUAAAGAAGCACCGGCUAACUACGUG